AUCACAGACCUAAGCUUGUCUAACUGUAGGCAGGGGAGAGAAGAAGGUGGGUUUGUCAGCACUCUCUAAUGCCCAGGCACUGCCAACCAGUGCCAGGGAAGGACAGUGUCUGCUUUUGCCUGACCCAUAUGAUGCCACAAAAACUACCCGUUGGUAAAAUCCCCAGUGCGCAGAAGCAACACCUCAGGCAGCCUAUGUUACCCAUGGAUGAGUCUCAGCCAUUCUUGGCCUUUACCGUCUGAUCUAACUUUUCCAGUCAGGAACAGCUGAAGCAACGCUCCUCUCAAGCUUCCGCAGCUCCUUCUCUAUGUUCUUCACCGUCGAUCUGGACCACAGAGCCAACACCACAAAGGAUCACUCGCUGAGCCAAGAGGCUGCUUGUGGGGCUGGUAGCAGCCAGGGACAGGGAGCGGUACACAGCACAGGAAGGCAUGAACCCUUCUCAGGACCAAAUGCAGCUUGGGUACAACUCUCCCAAAGUCCCCACCCUUUAACUUCAGGGCAGAAUUUGCCUCCCUACUAUAGUGGCUUGAAGAUACUUCUGUGGGUUAGAAACCCACAUAUCACAUGCCAACUUCAGGUUAAUCUGACUGGAUUCCUCCGCGCUCUGGCCUGCUCCUGCAGCCUCCACUCCUUCCAAGACAUUCUGCAGAUUGAUUAUCUAGAACCACGACAGCUGUCAAGAGUCAGGACUCCAGGGCAUAGGCCUGCUUGCAUGGACCUCUGCCCAGUGGGCAGACACCCACCCUCUGGCAGUGCUGGGUUUAACUACCCAUCAAAAACACCCAGAGCCAGAAGCCACCCUUGUGCAAGUAGCUGCUACUCCACUCAUUUCAAAGGAUUUGCACCAGAACUGACCUCCUGGUGUUAAGGACUAAGUCUCCCUGUAGGUGUGGAGAGGUAGGCCAGAUCUCCCUAAAGUGGCACCUGGGACCCUGAAGAGCACCCUGGAAUUUGCCUGCAUCGCAACCCAAGGUCUGAAGCCUGUGAGGAAAGGACCGGAUGCGGGGGAAUGCCCUACCUGCAUCCAAGAGGAGCUGCUUCAGCUUGUUGAGGUCUGAGUAGAACCAGAGCGCUCUGAAGCAAGUCCUGAAACGAACUGCCAUGGCUACUGGACUCCUUUGGGGCAAUUUGCCCUCUCAGCUCUUCCCUCCUGAGGCACAUCGCAGGAUCUCAGUAGGUAAUCUGAGUGAUCGUGAAGGAUCUGGCUGAAUACCAACCAGCAUAGAAGAUCCAUAAUUGCUUCCUUGGCUUGAUAGACCAUAUCAGUGUUUCAGGAUUUGCAGUUUCACAUGUUUUUCACUUAUUUUCUGGAACUGCUAAAAUGCUGAUAAUUAUGUCUAACGCCCCCACUGAAUCUGCCUAAAACAGUCAAUCCUUGCAUAGCUGCUCUACAAUAUACCCAU